ensembl:lncRNA
GGGAGUGCAUGUACAGUGCUCUCUCCACCUUCAAUACCACGACUUAGGUGCCCUUGAGCAAGGCAUCGAACCCCCAACUGCUCCCCGGGCGCCGCAACAUAAAUGGCUGCCCACUGCUCAGGGUGUGUGUUCACAGUGUGUGUGUGUGCACUUUGGAUGGGUUAAAUGCAGAGCACGAAUUCUGAGCAUGGGUCACCAUACUUGGCUGAAUGUCACGUCACUUAAAAUGUGACCAAAGUGACACACAGCAAUAUAAUGCAGUUCAAUGAUUUCUAGGUAAAAAAAGAAGAAAACCAGAUGCGCCCAUUCAAGAAACUGGAAUAGUGAGUAUUCCUGCAUUUAAAAUCUAUAAAAUCAUGAAUUAACAAAUAUAUUUCCAAUAUAUCGUAGCGAAUAAUAAUGGCUGAAAGGAGCUUGACCUUUGUUACUGGUUGUUAUUUAGAGUUGUUCUGGACCUCCAGAGACAUAUUCUCUUAUCACUUCUGUACCAGAAACAUCUCAGCCCAUAUCUGCAGAUGUUUUGAUCAACAAACAACAGAAACAGGGAAAUCCAGAAGAAAAGAAGGUAUGUUUGUGUGAACACUUUCACACACCAAACACACAUAAAAACAUAUCUGUUCAUCUUAAAUAACACAUUUACUUACUUUCUUUUAUUCUGUCUUUCUUCCCUCAUAAGAAUGUUUAUCACCUGUACAGCACGAUCCCUGAAAACCAGUUCACUCAAAUGCAGACGAUCAAUCCGACAGUUUGCUGAAGAUGUCUUGUUUCAUUAUGUACAUGCAAUUAAGUAUCUUUACUUGCAGACAAACAGAUUUUAAUUUUCAUCAUUUAUGUAAUCUUUAUUGAGAGGAUCCUCUAUGGCAAGGCCCACUGGACUAAUACUUAUUAUUUUUUAUUUUUUAUUUUUUUUGCAUAAACACAAUUUCAGUAUGUAUAUUCAUGUGUGCUGAAUGUUUUAUAGAAAUUUCAUGCUCCCUUGCAAAAGGCUUUUUUUUUUUUUUUUUUUUGGUAUUUUCAAAAUACAAAAAUACAGUAGUUUAUUUUGAUACAUGGUGUGGCUGGUGUAUUUUGUAGUUUAUUUUUACACUUAAUAUUAAGGUAUUUGGUAUUUUAUAUUAAAAUACACUCUGAUGUAUCUUUGCCCAACCCUGUGUACAGAAACAUAGCAUAGUAUAGAAAAUUAAUUUUAUAUUAGUAAAAUGUAUUACAUGUAGCUAAAGUGCCUUCAGAUUACACAAAAUAUUAGAUAAAUAUGCAAGUUAUCAAACAAAUUAUCAUAAUGUCCAACUCAUUUAAUCUGUAUUAUUUUCUUUGUCAAACUACAGUCCACUUAAUGAACAGUGACUGAUCAAUACUGCACAAAUAUAUGAUUUGCUGAUAUGAUUUUUGCACGCAGUCCUUGUAUCUUAGAAAUUGACCAGUGACUGCAGAGCUGCUAAUUAUUUGCAUAUUAAUAAACAAUCAAGGGAAUUUUGAUUUCUCAUGUCAUGACCACUUUAACAUCGUUUUCGAAAACAAUGAAUUAUGAUGCAUCAUAAAUACAUAUUUAUGGGCAAAAUGGUAAAAGGGCAUUCCAUUAAGUCCCAGGGUGAUUUCACUUGUGAUUAUAUUUAAUUUAAAUAUAUAUUUUUUUCUUUUUAUUUGCUAAUCAAAACUAUCCUAAUCGUUUCCCUCGGGGAGAUCGUUGUAAUCUGCAAACUUCAAAGCAACCUGCUGCAAAUGUGUAAAAGUUGCUUCCUUUAUGAUAGAUUUAAAAAGUAGAUUUAGAAGUAUUUGUUACCAAAUAAUGUGCAUUCUCUUACACACACACCCACACCAAAAACAAUAUUUUUCACUGGUAAUUUCUGGCAACCACAGCAGCAGGUUUGUUGUUUUUUUUUUUUUUUUACCAUAAAUUUAACAGGAUAUUUUUUUUUUUUUUUUUACGGUGAAGUGUCAUUUGCAUUGAAAAAGCAAUUGUAAGUCGCUUUGGAUAAAAGCGUCUGCUAAAUGAAUAAAUGUAAAAAAAUUUAACGUAAGAAGCUACAUUUAUGAUACAAAUGUUGUCAAAUUUUAUGACAAUGUAUGCUAUUCUCACAAACAGCUCUGUGAAAUUUUCCUAUUUUGUCAUGCAUCUUUAGACUCCAAAUUAAAAGCUGAAUCAGUCUGAAAGGCAGGCAAAUAAUAAUGACAAAAGACAUUUAUGAUCAGCAUUGUCUGCGCUUCACACAGUACAGCUUAAGACUAAAGUUGAGGUUUCUGAAUCUUGAAGAACAGCUACAUGGACUGUGUUUAGCUGUGACGGCUCAUGGCAGCCAUUGAUAUCCAGCACUGUUCCACAUGUAAGAAGAUAACACUCAGCACAUUCUAACACAGUCUUUGACAGUAAUAAAUAUCAUCUAUCUUCAGUAAUCCAGACAUCACAAAGAUGAUUUUGUCUCUGUGAACUCAUGUUUGGCGGAAGCAAGGCUCUCUGAUUUGAGUGUAUAUUAAGCCUAAUGGAUCAAGGCAGGGGUCAGAGGUCACCUGCUGAUCAGGAACGACAACACUGGGAAUAAAAUGGAUACCAGUGGAAAAAGCAUUUGCUGAGCCUCAUUCCACAGCGUUCUCAUGUUAAAAAGAUAUAUAAAUAGGGUUAACAAGAGCAUAGAGCAAAACUGGUUCACAUAAACAUUUUGAGUGUACUUUCUUUCAGCUGUGAUGGGAUGAGCAUUUUACAGACAGAAUGAACGGGGUACUUUAAAAUAAAUCACUGUAUAAUAACGGAGUACAUGAAUGGCAGUUUCAAAAUACUGGAAAACUUUACAGUAGUUUAAAGUCUGGUAAGUUUUA